UACGAAGGGGGCUAGCGUUGCUCGGAAUUACUGGGCGUAAAGCGCACGUAGGCGGUCUUUUAAGUCGGGGGUGAAAUCCCGGGGCUCAACCCCGGAACUGCCUUUGAGACUGCAUCGCUUGAAUCCAGGAGAGGUGAGUGGAAUUCCGAGUGUAGAGGUGAAAUUCGUAGAUAUUCGGAAGAACACCAGUGGCGAAGGCGGCUCACUGGACUGGUAUUGACGCUGAGGAGCGAAAGCGUGGGGAGCGAACAGG
rnacentral:rRNA from 1 species